CAGUCGCCGCGGGAAUACGGAGGGUGCAAGCGUUAAUCGGAAUUACUGGGCGUAAAGCGCACGCAGGCGGUCUGUCAAGUCAGAUGUGAAAUCCCCGGGCUUAACCUGGGAACUGCAUUUGAAACUGGCAGGCUAGAGUCUUGUAGAGGGGGGUAGAAUUCCAGGUGUAGCGGUGAAAUGCGUAGAGAUCUGGGGGAAUACCGGUGGCGAAGGCGGCCCCCUGGACAAAGACUGACGCUCAGGUGCGAAAGCGUGGGGAGCAAACAGGAUUAGAUACCCGCGUAGUCCCUGUCUCUUAUCC
rnacentral:rRNA from 1 species